rnacentral:lncRNA from 1 species
AUGUAUGAUUGUCAUGAGUGAUGCUCAUGAAUGUUUAUGUAUGAAUGACAUGAGUAAUGCUCAUGUAUAAGUUUACUCGAGAAAAUGGACUAAACCCAAUAAUAACUUACAAAAUUGAACUUAUGUCAAGUUUACUUGAGAAAAGAACAAAAGGAAAAUGAGGACAAGGAAAAAAAAACGUCAAGCCUUGCCAAAUUAUACUCCUCAUGCUUUAUAGCCAAUUCACAUAACUACCAUUCCCUGGAGAAAUAUUAUUUUUGUAUGACCACUCACUAACUACUGUUGCAUUACCACGUGAUAUUAUCAAUUAACUUAUACUAUAAUACGUAAAUUUAUUAUUGCUGAAUCUGAAGUGCAUAUGUUCAUGACAUAUCAAUUUUAUCGUUUACUAUUUAUGAUAACCUAAUUUAAUUAGUAACACCGUGCGACUAUAGAUUAACAACACCCUUCUUAAUAUAAUUGGACCUUUAGAGCAAGUCCACUGGGACCAAAUAGGCCGGCUCACAGCAGCCAAAAUGGCCCGGCACCCAACCAAUUUGCUCCAGCCCAGCCUACUGUCCUAUAGGGCGGCCCAGAAUGUGCUGAGCCAAGGCUC